UCCUUGUUGCCUGCAGUUCACAUUAUUGAAAGAGAGAGGAAAGAAAGUCAGAGAGUCUCACAAGAGCCUCACGCUGUGUGUGAAAUAGCCUGAAAAUGUUAUUUAGGAGACAUCCAGGGACCCUCCGGCACGAGCCUAGGGUAGGCAAAACUGGACUUUAAGGACCGCCUGGCUGGCUGGGCAUUUUCCGAAGCGGGGUGCCUGGGACUGAGACUUAGCGCACACACCCAGCGCAUCUCCAGCGAGUGACGGCGGAGAUGGAGCGGUCCCGGGCUACGCAAGAACCCUCCGUGUCGGGGUGGUAAACUGAGCGCACAGCUGGAGCACGACCCCGGGACAUCAAGAGAGGUGACCUCACUUGGUGCCAGAGGACUGAUUGUUCCAUAGGGGACUAACCCUCCCAGUGUGCCAGCGCAAGGACCAUGGGAGCACAAAGGAGCCCAGUGAGGUGCAGGAACCAGCCAAGAGAGCACUGCCCCUCGGACUGUUCUCCCAGCAGGCCCCAGGUACCAUCCGGAGCAGGAGAGCAGGGCAGCCGCCCCUGACAGCACAGGCACCACCUCUGAGGCCUGGUUUCUAUGCAAGGAGAACUCAACCUGCAGAAUCACCAGUGGGCCCUCAGGAUUUCGACUGAGCCUGGAGGAUCCUGGGCAGGACAAAGACACUUGACGGUGAGGGUCAGUGAGUACUCAAUAGAACCUUGGAAUA